UGGGGAAUAUUGGACAAUGGGCGAAAGCCUGAUCCAGCCAUGCCGCGUGUGUGAAGAAGGUCUUCGGAUUGUAAAGCACUUUAAGUUGGGAGGAAGGGCAGUAAGGGAAUACCUUGCUGUUUUGACGUUACCGACAGAAUAAGCACCGGCUAACUCUGUGCCAGCAGCCGCGGUAAUACAGAGGGUGCAAGCGUUAAUCGGAAUUACUGGGCGUAAAGCGCGCGUAGGUGGUUCGUUAAGUUGAAUGUGAAAGCCCCGGGCUCAACCUGGGAACUGCAUCCAAAACUGGCGAGCUAGAGUAGGGCAGAGGGUGGUGGAAUUUCCUGUGUAGCGGAGAAAUGCGUAGAUAUAGGAAGGAACACCAGUGGCGAAGGCGACCACCUGGGCUCAUACUGACACUGAGGUGCGAAAGCGUGGGGAGCAAACAGG
rnacentral:rRNA from 1 species